rnacentral:rRNA from 1 species
CACGUAGGGCGCGAGCGUUGUCCGGAAUUAUUGGGCGUAAAGAGCUCGUAGGCGGCCUGUUGCGUCCGCUGUGAAAGCCCGGGGCUUAACCCCGGGUCUGCAGUGGAUACGGGCAGGCUAGAGGUAGGUAGGGGAGAAUGGAAUUCCCGGUGUAGCGGUGAAAUGCGCAGAUAUCUGGAGGAACACCGGUGGCGAAGGCGGCAUCCUGGACCAACACUGACGCUGAGGAGCGAAAGCCAGGGGAGCAAACGGG